UUGAGUAUUAUUUCUGGCGCU
rnacentral:miRNA from 1 species